rnacentral:rRNA from 1 species
GAAGGCGGCCAUAGCGGUGGGGGCACACCCGUACCCGUUCCGAACACGGAAGUUAAGCCCACCCGCGUACCGGGAAGUACUGGAGUGAGCGAUCCUCUGGGAACCGCGGUUCGCCGCCUCGC